UGAGGCACAGAAAGGUGAAGUAACCAAUGAGUGGUGGCUCCAGCAUUAGGCCGAAGCAGUCUGGCUUCAGAGGGCUCUCAGCCACCACACGGGGCUGCCUGUACCCAGGAUGCCACCUGCCUCAUGCCUGGCACACAGGGGGUGCUGGACCUCGAAGGAAGGUUCAAGGAAGGUGGGAAGACAGGAGGGAGGCCAAGAGGGCUGCGUGAACCAUGCUGCUGGGGUGGCAUUCUCCACCACGACCCCCGCCAUAAGAUAAGAACACUGAAGCCCAGAGAGGUCCAUCAAGUUGCCCGAGGGCACACAGCCGGUCAGUG